rnacentral:rRNA from 1 species
GCAGUCGAGGGGUAACGGGGUGCUUGCACCGCCGACGACCGGCGCACGGGUGCGUAACGCGUAUACAAUCUACCUUGUAGAGGGGAAUAGCCCAGAGAAAUUUGGAUUAAUGCCCCAUAGUAUUAUGAAAUAGCAUUAUUUUAUAAUUAAACAUUUAUGGCUACAAGAUGAGUAUGCGUUCUAUUAGUUAGUAGGUAAGGUAACGGCUUACCUAGACUUCGAUAGAUAGGGGUCCUGAGAGGGAGAUCCCCCACACUGGUACUGAGACACGGACCAGACUCCUACGGGAGGCAGCAGUGAGGAAUAUUGGACAAUGGGCGAGAGCCUGAUCCAGCCAUGCCGCGUGCAGGAAGACGGCCCUAUGGGUUGUAAACUGCUUUUAUAGAGGAAGAAACACUCCUACGUGUAGGAGCUUGACGGUACUCUACGAAUAAGGAUCGGCUAACUCCGUGCCAGCAGCCGCGGUAAUACGGAGGAUCCAAGCGUUAUCCGGAAUCAUUGGGUUUAAAGGGUCCGUAGGCGGGACAAUCAGUCAGCGGUGAAAGUCUGUGGCUCAACCAUAGAAUUGCCAUUGAUACUGUUGUUCUUGAAUACUUAUGAAGUGGUUGGAAUAUGUAGUGUAGCGGUGAAAUGCAUAGAUAUUACAUAGAACACCGAUUGCGAAGGCAGAUCACUAAUAAGUCAUUGACGCUGAUGGACGAAAGCGUAGGUAGCGAACAGGAUUAGAUACCCUGGUAGUCUACGCCGUAAACGAUGGUUACUAACUGUUCGGUUGCAAGACUGAGUGGCUAAGCGAAAGUGAUAAGUAACCCACCUGGGGAGUACGUUCGCAAGAAUGAAACUCAAAGGAAUUGACGGGGGCCCGCACAAGCGGUGGAGCAUGUGGUUUAAUUCGAUGAUACGCGAGGAACCUUACCAGGGCUUAAAUGUAGAUUGACGGGGGUGGAAACACCUUUUCCUUCGGGCAAUUUACA